rnacentral:rRNA from 1 species
CUUGAAAACAAUAAGAGGUCCAGCCUGCCCAGUGACUCUGUUCAACGGCCGCGGUAUCCUAACCGUGCGAAGGUAGCGUAAUCACUUGUUCUUUAAAUGAGGACUAGUAUGAACGGCACCACGAAGGUUAUACUGUCUCCUUUCUCUAAUCAGUGAAACUAAUCUCCCCGUGAAGAAGCGGGGGUAAUAUUAUAAGACGAGAAGACCCUAUGGAGCUUUAAACACGGUGACACUUGCCUAACUUAAUCCCUGAUUUCAGAAGACUAACAAUUACCCAGGCAUUAUGAUCACAAGUUUUAGGUUGGGGUGACCACGGAGUAAAAAGUAACCUCCGCAAUGAAUUUGGGGCCUUCCCCUAAUCCAAGGACUACAACCCUAAGAAUCAAUAAACUGACAUCAAUUGACCCAGUAUAUCUGAUCAUUGAAC